AAAGGAUGUGGCGUUGCCCAGACAACUAGGAUGUUGGCUUAGAAGCAGCCAUCAUUUAAAGAGUGCGUAAUAGCUCACUAGUCGAGUGACACUGCGCCGAAAAUGUAUCGGGGCUAAACAUAUUACCGAAGCUGUGGAUUGUCCUUUGGACAAUGGUAGGAGAGCGUUCUAAGGGCGUUGAAGCAUGAUCGUAAGGACAUGUGGAGCGCUUAGAAGUGAGAAUGCCGGUGUGAGUAGCGAAAGACGGGUGAGAAUCCCGUCCACCGAUUGACUAAGGUUUCCAGAGGAAGGCUCGUCCGCUCUGGGUUAGUCGGGUCCUAAGCUGAGGCCGACAGGCGUAGGCGAUGGAUAACAGGUUGAUAUUCCUGUACCACCUAUAAUCGUUUUAAUCGAUGGGGGGACGCAGUAGGAUAGGCGAAGCGUGCGAUUGGAUUGCACGUCUAAGCAGUAAGGCUGAGUAUUAGGCAAAUCCGGUACUCGUUAAGGCUGAGCUGUGAUGGGGAGAAGACAUUGAGUCUUCGAGUCGUUGAUUUCACACUGCCGAGAAAAGCCUCUAGAUAGAAAAUAGGUGCCCGUACCGCAAACCGACACAGGUAGUCAAGAUGAGAAUUCUAAGGUGAGCGAGCGAACUCUCGUUAAGGAACUCGGCAAAAUGACCCCGUAACUUCGGGAGAAGGGGUGCUCUUUAGGGUUAACGCCCAGAAGAGCCGCAGUGAAUAGGCCCAAGCGACUGUUUAUCAAAAACACAGGUCUCUGCUAAACCGUAAGGUGAUGUAUAGGGGCUGACGCCUGCCCGGUGCUGGAAGGUUAAGAGGAGUGGUUAGCUUCUGCGAAGCUACGAAUCGAAGCCCCAGUAAACGGCGGCCGUAACUAUAACGGUCCUAAGGUAGCGAAAUUCCUUGUCGGGUAAGUUCCGACCCGCACGAAAGGCGUAACGAUUUGGGCACUGUCUCAACGAGAGACUCGGUGAAAUCAUAGUACCUGUGAAGAUGCAGGUUACCCGCGACAGGACGGAAAGACCCCGUGGAGCUUUACUGUAGCCUGAUAUUGAAAUUCGGCACAGCUUGUACAGGAUAGGUAGGAGCCUUUGAAACGUGAGCGCUAGCUUACGUGGAGGCGCUGGUGGGAUACUACCCUAGCUGUGUUGGCUUUCUAACCCGCACCACUUAUCGUGGUGGGAGACAGUGUCAGGCGGGCAGUUUGACUGGGGCGGUCGCCUCCUAAAAGGUAACGGAGGCGCUCAAAGGUUCCCUCAGAAUGGUUGGAAAUCAUUCAUAGAGUGUAAAGGCAUAAGGGAGCUUGACUGCGAGACCUACAAGUCGAGCAGGGUCGAAAGACGGACUUAGUGAUCCGGUGGUUCCGCAUGGAAGGGCCAUCGCUCAACGGAUAAAAGCUACCCCGGGGAUAACAGGCUUAUCUCCCCCAAGAGUUCACAUCGACGGGGAGGUUUGGCACCUCGAUGUCGGCUCAUCGCAUCCUGGGGCUGUAGUCGGUCCCAAGGGUUGGGCUGUUCGCCCAUUAAAGCGGUACGCGAGCUGGGUUCAGAACGUCGUGAGACAGUUCGGUCCCUAUCCGUCGUGGGCGUAGGAAAUUUGAGAGGAGCUGUCCUUAGUACGAGAGGACCGGGAUGGACAUACCUCUGGUGUACCAGUUGUCGUGCCAACGGCAUAGCUGGGUAGCUAUGUGUGGACGGGAUAAGUGCUGAAAGCAUCUAAGCAUGAAGCCCCCCUCAAGAUGAGAUUUCCCAACUUCGGUUAUAAGAUCCCUCAAAGAUGAUGAGGUUAAUAGGUUCGAGGUGGAAGCAUGGUGACAUGUGGAGCUGACGAAUACUAAUCGAUCGAAGACUUAAUCAA
rnacentral:rRNA from 1 species